rnacentral:rRNA from 1 species
UACGUAGGGGGCGAGCGUUGUCCGGAAUCAUUGGGCGUAAAGAGCGUGUAGGUGGACUGGAAGGUCUGGUGUGAAAGCCCGGGGCUCAACCCCGGAGGGUCACUGGAAACCAACAGUCUUGAGUCUGGAAGAGGAGAGUAGAAUUCCUGGUGUAGCGGUGGAAUGCGCAGAUAUCAGGAGGAACACCAAUGGCGAAGGCAGCUCUCUGGUACAUGACUGACACUGAGACGCGAAAGCGUGGGGAGCGAACAGG